rnacentral:rRNA from 1 species
UACGUAGGGUGCAAGCGUUAAUCGGAAUUACUGGGCGUAAAGCGUGCGCAGGCGGUUCGGAAAGAAAGGUGUGUAAUCCCAGGGCUUAACCUUGGAACUGCACUUUUAACUACCGGGCUAGAGUACGUCAGAGGGGGGUAGAAUUCCACGUGUAGCAGUGAAAUGCGUAGAGAUGUGGAGGAAUACCGAUGGCGAAGGCAGCCCCCUGGGAUGAUACUGACGCUCAUGCACGAAAGCGUGGGGAGCAAACAGG